rfam:Poecilia formosa, whole genome shotgun sequence.
GGAGGUUCAUUAGAAGUAACGAGUUGACACAAGGUAAAUCUUAAUGUUGAGGCGCCUUUUCUCUACCGGCCCGGGGAGGAGCCCUCAUUAACUGUCGCUAACAACCCGUGUAAAUACACUGAUUGGACAGCUCCGAUACAAGCUCCCAGUCCUGCCAGGAAGUCCCCCUAAUGAGACCACACAAUAAAAA